UUUGCCCUGGCCCGGCGCGAGCCGCCGGGGUAGGGCCGGGGAGACCCAGGUGCCGAGGCUGGCGCUGCGGCGCGGCCCAGGCGGGAGCCCUUCCCGAGAUGCACCAGGAGGCGGCGGCCGGGACCGACCCGGGACCCCUCCCGCACCCCCGCCCCGCGCCCUUUGUGCCGCUCCGCCUGUUCGGCGGAGCCUGGAAAUAACGGCUGCUCUGCGGGGUUUUGGGCCCGCAAGGCCAACUCUUUUUCACGCUUUCCUUUUGGGUUCUUACUCAUGCGACAGCCUUGGGACCCCGGCAAAAUGGAUCCAGAUUCCAGCCCUGCUCUGUUGCAAGCUACUGAAUUCCUCUGAGCAUGGAUUUUCUCUGGAAAAGAUAGAAGGCACCCAUUUCAAGGCUCUUUUUAAAGGUUACGUUUGAUAAUGUAUUAGAGACCCUCUCUUGUGUAUGUGACUGUCACAGAGCACAUGCUCAGUGCUCUUUGCUCACCUGCCCACCUCCCUUACUCGUUUACACCUGUAGAAAUUGAGUUUGAAGGAUCCUGAAUAACACAGAAAGCUGAAUUAUAAAAUUGCUGUUUUCCAGA